AAGGGAAAAGGUUUCUUUGUUUUUAUGUUUUCUAUUUUAAGAGAAAUGAAAUGAGUCUGGCCCAAGACCCUAGCCCAAGGGUUGUGCUUCAGCAGAAGCAUUAGGGGUUCUCACGAACCUCCCUCAAGCCUCUCAUUCACUUAGCAACUCCAGAGACCUGAAGUCUCUCUUCUAAACGCAGCCAAAGGAAGGGUUCGUUUCCUCCGCCUGCCCACUACCGCCUCAGCCUUCGCUCCGAUGGCCAUCACGAGGGACUUCCCACGGCGUCGCCAGUGACCUCAAGCGUCGUCGGGCUACUACCGGCCACGGCGCCAGAUUUCCCUCUUUUCCCUUCUUUUCCCUCAAACAGGGAGACCCUGUUCCUCUCCUUCGAGUCCGAGACUGCCACCACCGGCAAAACUGUUUGUCGUCGCCUCCACCAAACCGGCCACCAUUCACCGCCUGAUGCAGGGCCAGCCACAGUCGACAACCAGCCACCGCAAGCCGCCUCCUUCCUCUCCACCCAAGGGUUUCCUUUCUUCUAUCUUAGAUACCAAACGUCCCCAGAAACACCACCGUCGGUGUUGAGGACGAAAGCAUUUUUCUUUCUCUUCUCAUUUUUUGAAUGCCACUUGUUUAUUGGUUCCUCUGUUGAUUGAUAUUUUGUUCAUUGGGAUUGGAAACGUUGGAGUUUGUUGUGUGCAUAUGAGUGUAAGUAUGAGUGCGAGAGUGAGGGUUUAAUCUGAUAGGUGUUUUGUGUUAUGGGCCAAAGAUUUUGGGCGCUUGGUGUUGUGUCGAAGUCCUGGAAAUUGAGGAAAUUGAGGACAUUGAGCAAGGAGCUCAAAACGUCAAUCUGUCAUCCCUGUUCGAAUGCGCUGGAUAUAGCAGUUGUUCUAAAGACAAGCUUCGGUAUAAAAUUUGUGACUUGGUUUGUUUCCUUGUUUCAGGUGAAAGGCGGUCUCAAGAUUAAGGGUGGCUACAACAGAUGUUACUACCCAGAUUGAGGGAGACCUAUGGUUUGCUAGAGAGAAAAAAUGCCCUCUGUUUUUUUAUGCUGAUGAAUCUUGUGAAACUACAUUUUGGGGUGUAGUUUUGAUUAACAGAAGGUGUCACCAAGAAAACAACACAACUAUAUACAUUGAUCAAACAUCACUCAUUCAUCUCCAAGGAAAGCAUAUACAUGAGCAUACAGACGAGCAUGACCAAAGAGCUUAGGCACUGGAAAGUUAAGUUCACUGGGCACCAAGGUUCACAACGAAGUUGAAGGCAAUUGGUUGUCUGGUGGCCCGAAUGCCAAUUGACAGAAUAGAGGUCCCCCUGCUCUAGCCGUGAGGUCUCCUUUUUUGAAUGACCGUGGUCAGACCAUUUUGAAAAACACCAAGCUCUUUUUUUUGCUGGAUUGCUUCUGGGAGCUCUGACAUAUCCUCUAGCGUAAGAUUUUUCUUUGUCUUUUUUCCUUCUUCCUGUUUUCACUUUGCAGUUGGCAGAAGCUGUUUAAAAAAGCUUUCUCCAUUGAUGUAUAGUGUAGUCUUACGUAGGAAUUUUAGGAAGAGGAACCAAGGACUUUUGUCACUCCCGCUGUGAAUAUACAUUUUAAGCAUUGUUGCCUUUGUCACUGCAAAACGUCACAUGCAGGGUUGACUUUGGUUUA